rnacentral:rRNA from 1 species
GACGAACGCUGGCGGCGUGCCUAAUACAUGCAAGUCGAGCGCAGGAAGCCGUCUGAACCCUUCGGGGGGACGACGGUGGAAUGAGCGGCGGACGGGUGAGUAACACGUAAAGAACCUGCCCACGGGUCUGGGAUAACCACGAGAAAUCGGGGCUAAUACCGGACGGGUCAUCGGACCGCAUGGUCCGAGGAUGAAAGGCGCUCCGGCGUCGCCCGUGGAUGGCUUUGCGGUGCAUUAGCUAGUUGGUGGGGUAACGGCCGACCAAGGCGACGAUGCAUAGCCGACCUGGGAGGGUGAUCGGCCACCCUGGGACUGAGACACGGCCCAGAGUCCUACGGGAGGCAGCAGUAGGGAAUCUUCCACAAUGGACGAAAGUCUGAUGGAGCAACGCCGCGUGAACGAUGAAGGCCCUCGGGUCGUAAAGUUCUGUUGUAAGGGAAGAACAAGUGCCGCAGGCAAUGGCGGCACCUUGACGGUACCUUGCGAGAAAGCCACGGCUAACUGCGUGCCAGCCGCCGCAGUAAAAC